rnacentral:rRNA from 1 species
UACGUAGGGUGCAAGCGUUGUCCGGAAUUAUUGGGCGUAAAGAGCUCGUAGGCGGUUUGUUGCGUCGGCUGUGAAAUCCCGAGGCUCAACCUCGGGUCUGCAGUCGAUACGAGCAAACUAGAGUGUUGCAGGGGAGACUGGAAUUCCUGGUGUAGCGGUGAAAUGCGCAGAUAUCAGGAGGAACACCGGUGGGCGAAAGGCGGGGUC